CGUCUAUAUACGUAUAGCAUAUCAAUAAGCGGAGGAAAAGGAACUAACUAGGAUUCCCUCAGUAACGGCGAGUGAAGCGGGAAGAGCUCAAAUUUGAAAUCUUCAAGGUUCUACCUUGACGAAUUGUAGUUUAAAGAAGUGUUUUCUGUUGGAGUUUUGGUAAAAGUUCUUUGGAAAUAGGACAUCAUAGAGGGUGAGAAUCCCGUAUUUGACCAUUAUUUCCAACUUUGUGAUACACUUUCAAAGAGUCGGAUUGUUUGGGAAUGCAGUCCAAAAUGGGUGGUAAAUUUCAUCUAAAGCUAAAUACUGGCGAGAGACCGAUAGCGAACAAGUACCGUGAGGGAAAGAUGAAAAGAACUUUGAAAAGAGAGUUAAACAGUACGUGAAAUUGUCAAAAGGGAAGCGUUUGACACCAGUGUUGUUUUCUCGAAAAUCAAUUAAAAAUGGCGGGAUUUUGUGUUGUAUUGACUUUAUCAGCUUUCUGCACUUUUUUCUUAUCUUUUUUAAUGCACUUUUCGUUUAACAAGUCAACAUCAAUUUCUUUUGUUGUAAAAGAGUCAUUGGAAGGUGGCUUUCUUUUCGGAGAAAGUGUUUAUAGCCUUUGACUUCUGCAAUCGGAGAGAUUGAGGUCUGCAGCGUAGAUCCUUCGGGGUUAGAUGCAUUUGUGCUAAGUUAUAGCCUUUCAUAGACAACUUGUUGACUAUGAUCAGUCAUGUAGCUUACUCGCUUAUGUUAUUUUACCUACGCUUAGGAUGUUGAUCUGUAGUGCGUGCGC
rnacentral:rRNA from 1 species